UGCCAGCAGCCGCGGUAAUACGGGAGUGGCAAGCGUUAUCCGGAAUUAUUGGGCGUAAAGCGUACGUAGGCGGAUUAGUAAGUUAGAGGUGAAAUCCCGGGGCUCAACCCCGGAACUGCCUUUAAAACUGCUAGUCUAGAGUUAUGGAGAGGUAAGUGGAAUUCCUAGUGUAGAGGUGAAAUUCGUAGAUAUUAGGAGGAACACCAGAGGCGAAGGCGACUUACUGGACAUAUACUGACGCUGAGGUACGAAAGUGUGGGUAGCAAACAGGAUUAGAUA
rnacentral:rRNA from 1 species